rnacentral:rRNA from 1 species
AACUGUUGGAAUCCGAGAGCUAAUACAUGCUAAAAGUCUUGACUGGGGGGCGACCUUCUGGAAGGGAUGUAUUUAUUAGAUGUGGAACCGAUGCGGGGUAUUCCAAACUGCGUGUGUGUGCUCGUCAAAAGGCGCGCAUGCGUGGGCUCCGGCUUUAUGGUGAAUCAUGAUAACUUUGCGAAGCGAAUGGCCUCUGCGCCGUCGCUGAUUCAUUCGAAUUUCUGCCCUAUCAACUUUUGACGGUAGUAUAUAGGACUACCGCGGUCUUGACGGGUGACGGAGCAUUAGGGUGCGAUGCCGGAGAGGGAGCCUGAGAAACGGCUACCACGUCUACGGGCGGCAGCAGGCGCGUAAAUUACCCAAUCCCGAUUCGGGGAGGUAGUGACAAUAAAUAACAAUAUUGGCCCAGUCAAAUGGGCUAGUAAUUGGAAUGAGGACGAUGUAAAAAACCUACCGAGUAGCAAUUAGAGGGCAAGUCUGGUGCCAGCAGCCGCGGUAAUUCCAGCUCUAAUAGCAUAUUUUGAAGUUGUUGCAGUUAAAACGCUCGUAGUUGGAUUUUAGGGCUCGUAUGUAAAAAGCCAGGUCUUGGUCCGCGUAUAGCGAGUACUGUCCUGGCCGGGCUCUCCUUAUGGGAUACUCACUGUGGCGCUUAACUGAGUUGCAGUAGUAGGGUGUCGGCGGGGGGGGCGUGGGGUUAAUAGCCCUGCGCUUCCUCUCUGGCACCCCGGGUUCCCAUUCGUUUACUUUGAAUAAAUUGGAGUGUUCAAAGCAGGCAGUUAACGCCUUGUACAAUUCAGCAUGGGAUAAUGGAAUAGGCUGUUGGCUUAUUUCGUCGGAAUGGUUUCUAAGCACAACAGAAUGAUUAAGAGGGAUAGUUGGGGGUUUUCGUAUUUAAUUGUCAGAGGUGAAAUUCUUGGAUUUGUUAAAGACGAACUACUGCGAAAGCAUUAACCAAGGAUGUUUUCAUUAAUCAAGAACGAAAGUAGGGGGAUCGAAGACGAUCAGAUACCGUCGUAGUCUCUACCAUAAACGAUGCCGACCAGCGAUUCGGAGACGUUAAUAUUUUCAGAUGACUCCCCGAGCAGCUUGUGAGAAAUCAGAGUGUUUGGGUUCUGGGGGGAGUAUGGUCGCAAGGCUGAAACUUAAAGGCAUUGACGGAAGGGCACCACCAGGAGUGGAGCCUGCGGCUUAAUUUGACACAACACGGGGAAGCUUACCAGGUCCAGACAAAGUGAGGAUUGACAGAUUGAGCGCUCUUUCUUGAUUCUUUGGGUGGUGGUGCAUGGCCGUUCUUAGUUGGUGGAUCGAUCUGUCUGGUUAAUUCCGAUAACGAACGAGACCUUAACCUGCUAAAUAGUCACCGGAAG